GACGAACGCUGGCGGCGCGCCUAACACAUGCAAGUCGAACGAGCGAGAGAGAGCUUGCUUUCUCGAGCGAGUGGCGAACGGGUGAGUAACGCGUGAGGAACCUGCCUCAAAGAGGGGGACAACAGUUGGAAACGACUGCUAAUACCGCAUAAGCCCACGGGUCGGCAUCGACCGGAGGGAAAAGGAGCAAUCCGCUUUGAGAUGGCCUCGCGUCCGAUUAGCUAGUUGGUGAGGUAACGGCCCACCAAGGCAACGAUCGGUAGCCGGACUGAGAGGGUGAACGGCCACAUUGGGACUGAGACACGGCCCAGACUCCUACGGGAGGCAGCAGUGGGGAAUAUUGCACAAUGGGGGAAACCCUGAUGCAGCGACGCCGCGUGGAGGAAGAAGGUCUUCGGAUUGUAAACUCCUGUUGUUGGGGAAGAUAAUGACGGUACCCAAAAAGGAAGUGACGGCUAACUACGUG
rnacentral:rRNA from 1 species